UGUGCAAAAGUAAUUGUGGUUUUUGUCAUUUAAAAGUAAUGGCAAAAACUGCAAUUACUUUCACACC
ensembl:miRNA MIR548AE2 microRNA 548ae-2